UGGAGUACAUCUGAUUCCCGCAC
rnacentral:miRNA from 1 species